UAAAGCGCACGGCGACCUGGGGCUCUCAGACGUGCGCCGUGUGGCUCUGGGCUGAAGGGGACCCAGCUGGCCGCGACAGCCCAGGACGCCGGGGAAGGGUUGCCGAGAAUACUCCAGUGUUCCCAGCAGGGUGGGCAGCGCUCCGUUAUCACGUGAUACUCCUGCUUCGAAGUCUGUUUAGAGAGGAAAACACAGUUAUAAAUAAUCGGAGGAGACUCACUAGCUGCAGCCUGUGCUCCAGAAGAGUGGUUUGCGGGGGCCAUAAACACCAGGAGGCCGGGUCAAUGGGGCCAUCUCAGAGGUGGCCUCCCACAACCGUGGACUGAAGGGAGAUGGAUUUGGGGGCAAUUGACUGUGACUGGAACCACUUUUCUAAGGGGAAGUCAGUCAUUUACCCUGAUGAGGGGAGUGGCUUCCAGCCGCCACGAGAGCCAGUGUCUGAGUGAGCAUUCUGGUGUCUUUGGGGGAGACAUUUGUGCAUAGAAAAGACUUCAUAUCUAAAUUAACCUUCAGUGUAUUGAAACUACCAAUUAAAAACACUGUCUUUCUUAGGCUUCAAAGUUCUUUCAAAAGUUAGUCUAUUUAUAAAUCUAGUAAAUUCAAACUGUCACUUUCAGGGAGGUCUUUGAUUAAUGUUCAACCAACUUCAGUUUCAACAGCUUCACAUGCCAUGUUGAAUCUCAGUUAAUUAAAUCCCCUUAACUGUUCUGCCUUCACAAAUUUAAACUGUUCAAUUUUCUUCUGAAACUCAACGGAAGCUAAACCUUCCCAAGUACUUAACUCUUAGAAUAAAUUACAAGAGUAUCAAGAUCUUUUAAACAUUCCAGGACCAUUUAGUCAUUUAGAAAAGUUCUCUUUCACAUUUCCAUGAAAAAUUACAAGUCUGAAAUAACAAAUGAGUCCAUUACAAUUUACAUUGGAAGGCUAUGUUUACAGGACAAAUUUGUCACAUUUCUCCCUAUGCCAAAUUCUCUCUCUUUUUUUUUUUCCCAAAAUAUUUAUUUAUUUUUAGAGAGAGGGGAAGGGAAGGAGAAAGAGUGGGAGAGAAACAUCAAUGUGUGAUUGCCUCUCAUGUGUCCCCCACUGGGGAACUGGCCUGCAACCCAGGCAUGUGCCCUGACUAGGAAUCGAACUGGUGACCCUUUGCUUUACAGGCCCGUGCUAAAUCCACUGAGCUACGCCAGCCAGGGCCCAAAUUCUCUUAAACAUAGCAAACCCUUUAAAUACCAAUAUCCUGGGUGUCUUAAACAUAACACAAAAGUAUUUAAUCCUGUGGGUUUGAUCGGCUUUCUGUUUAAUUGUAUGUCUUCCUUACA